ACACUGCUCAAAGACAUGUGGGUGAGCUUCUGUCUACUUUAUAGUAUUUUCUGGGCAAUUCAGUCAUUCAAUAUAGACCUCUGAUUUUGUUAAACAUUUUUAUGUCUGACUAGUUAAAUCUCAGAUGAGUCAGAAAUUUGAGUCCAUAAUGAAAUACAAAGUAUCUAAACAUUAAAAACUUUGCUUUUGUUCCUUUGCCCAUAUUUCUACUGCAGCACUAGAAAUACUUACUAUAAUAGGUAAUAUGUGAUUUUUGGAGUUGCUAGGAAGGACAGUGCCUUCUUUUAAGGUAGACAUUUAUUUGGAGCAUUUGUUCAAUGUAUGCAAAACAAAAGCAAAAAUCCCUACAAAAUCUCUCCAGUAAUCUCCCCAGAACACAGACCAAUCUAUUUGUCAGUGUGUAUAUCUUUCAAACUCCGUGAUUUUAGAUGGUAAAGUGCUCCUUCUAUAGUGUUUAUACUAUUUCUAGGGCCAUAGUACCCAUUUGACUCUUAAUAUUGGACUGCAGUUUAUUUUCAUUCUUAAUCCAUAUUGCUCAAGAGCCACAUUCCUAUAAGAUGAGGAGAACAUUGUCUCAGAUGUUCCUCAGGUAUUUCCAAGAUGAGGUUUUAGUUUGAUAGCUUUUUACAUUUCUGGGGUUUUUUGGGAGCUCAGUUUAUAACCACACCUUCCCUUUCCAUGAAGAACCAUAGGAAAGAAAGGCAGACCAUUGAAGCGGCCCUUUAGGGAGGAGGACUUGUUUGUUUAUUCUGCAGGCCCCUUGGACCUACAGAUCGUGGUCAGCCACGUGCCAUCUCUAACUCUGAUUUUCAUUGUACACUCCUUCCGAGAAUCCUCCCUGGACAGUUUCAGAAGGCACCAGCCCCACCAUGGACUUCCUUGCAGAUCUGAAGAAACUGGCAACCCCCUUCUGAGUGACCCACACUUUGGAAUGAAGUACAGUUGCAAGCAAAAGGAAAUGCUGGACGAGGAGAGGAUGAUGAGGCACCUAAUUGUGGGCUUGGGAAGUGACUUGACGACCCUGCCCUGAGAGCCUGCUCGAGAGGGUUGGCAAACUCUCCUGGUCCUGCUGUGAUUCCCUCAGGCUUGUGAGGGACGACAGAUGGUUGAGCUAAACUCAGAGCCACCCCUCCACAUAAUGAAGAAAAAUGACCAGCC